AGGACGAUGACAGUGUGACAAGCGGAGAGCAGUGGCUCACAUCAGGGAGCUUCCAUGGUGACAGCAUUAUUGUCUCUGAGGACUGCACCCCAGAGCCAACCACAAACCGGGACUGGCCCGGGAUCGAGACAGAGGAGGGAGGGCUGCCAGUGUCCGAGGAAGAAGAGGCAGGACGGGGAGGACGAGGUGCAAGCCAAGGACCUGCGUCGAGCUUCACGCUCCAACAACAGCAUAUGAACAGGCCAGAAUCUGAGGACUG